CUCUUGCCUGCCGCUGUGUAGCAUGUGACUUCGCUGUUCUUUGGCCUUCCACCAUGAUUGUGAGACCUCCUCAGCCAUGUGGAACUGCUGGAGUGCAAUGGCGUGAUCUCGGCUCACCACAACCUCCAUCUCCCAGGUUCAAGUGAUUCUCCUGCUUCAGCCUCCAGAGUAGCUGGGAAGCUGGGAUUACAGGCAUGCGUCGCCACGCCCAUCUAAUUCUGUAUUUUUAGUAGAGAUGGGGUUUCUCCAUGUUGGUCAGGCUGGUCUCAAACUCCUGACUUCAGGUAAUCUACUCGCCUAGGCCUCCCAAAGUGCUGGGGAUUACAGGCAUGAGCUAUCGCAUCCGGCCCUGUUUGGCUUUCUAAAAUAGACUGUGUGUCUCACCCAGCAUGACGUUAGAUCUGUUUAGCAUGACAGCAUUCCAUUGAGUCAACUCCUUGGACAUACUAUAUGUUUUGUUUCCCUGGUAGCUAAUUAAAUAAGACAACUAAGUGCAGUCUAGAAAGUUCCUCUCAUAACAAAGUUCCCAAGAAUUUACAUCUUUGCUUUACUUACUUACUUUUUCGUGGUAGUUGAAGUUCAAGUGGAAACUGAUUAUAAAGGAGAAACCUAAAUCAAGUUAGGUGAAUUCUGCAGUAUGAACUGUGCUUGGAAAAUCUAACUGGUAACGUAUCCACAUUGGGAACUUGGUCCUUCCUCUCACAAAGAAAAUUCCAGGUCAAUUUCAUCCCCUAUGCUAAGCAUUUGAGUGUUCAGGAAUGUGAUUUUAGUUUUAUAAAAAUUGUUCUUUUUAAAAUUCCUGUCAAAUAAUCAGAUUUUUUUCUCAGCACAUUUAGAAGUAAAAAUGGAAAGUUUAGAGCAUUUUGAUAUUUUAGUAUUUAUUUCCAUGAAGUCACUUAACCCUCCCAGACUAGUUUCAGAGUUUUGUCUUCCAACCCAUCUUUGUGUCUCACUGUACAUUUUCUGCAUGUACAAUGAGAGGUGAUUUUUAAUUGGAAUCCCUUAGAUUUUUAGAGAGAAAGCUCUCCUCCUUUAUUC
rnacentral:lncRNA from 1 species